rnacentral:sRNA from 1 species
UAUCACAGAGUUAAUUACACCAGACCUGCACUAAAGGGAAUAAUAGAAAGAUUGGUCUUUGGCAGAAGAGAAAUGAUCCUGGAUGGCAGCUUUAAGAUGCAUGGAAAAGUGAAGACCAAAGAAAGGAGAAAUAAGAUGAGAUCAUGAUGCAGCCGUCCUUUUGGAUUUCUUUUUAAUAAUGUGUGACCCUUCACCUUUGAUCCCCUGACCUGCAUUACCUUGGUCUUAAAAUUUUGGUAGCAGAAAGCAAAUGUGCAAAGAGCAAUGGAAAACAAGUCAGAAGCUGCUGUCUGAUUCCAGAGGAACUCGUAUUUUAUGUAAAAAAAAAUGCUCUCACCACACACUUGUUCAUGGGCGCAGCAAAGAAGAGGGAUCCACAGAGCUGGAGCCGUGAGGGCUGACACAUUGGAAUGAAAGCUGGCAGAAUUCGUAGGGAGAGCUUUCCCAUCCUGCCAGCCCCAUGUCUGGCUUUAAGACAGUUCUAUUAGUGAAUUAACUGUUCUCAAAACCCCAAAUUAAUUUGAACCGAAUGUUACUAAAAAUGAAAUAGAAUAAAGUGACCUACUCUUGCCUCAUCUGGAGUUAUUACGAAGGAGCUCCGCAGCCUGACUGAGCUCUGGAGAGCAGGGCUCUGUGCACACGCCUCCUGGUCCAGAGGCCUCCGUGACCAUCCAUGAUGCCACUCUGUCCCCUCAGCAAGCUGCCUUUUUCUUCCUAGCACCUGCCCCAGCGGUGGUAUGUUUUCCAGUCAGUUACCACCUGUCUCAUCAGAAUGGAAGCUCCAUGAGAGCAGGGCCUUUGUCUUGUCCCCGUGUAUCUCCAGUGC